rnacentral:lncRNA from 1 species
CGCUCAUUGGCCGGCGCUGCCGGCAGCCAGGUCCCUGGCGCUGCGCGGCCUUUGUUCCCGGCUGACAGCUGUGGCCCAGUGGACCUCCCCGCCCACGAGCGCUCCGGCCCAGCGGCCCGGCUGCCCGGCUGCCCGGCUGCCCCAUCUCUCCACGCUGGCUUCGCUCAGACCCCGCCCGGCGGCCCUGCGUGCUGAAUUCCAUCUCCCCACCCCCUGCGCUCGCUCGGAAAGGCUGGGCUUCUCGGGUCUAGGACCUAGGUGGGGGGUUUCUUCCCCACGUCGGGGACCCCGGCACUCCUGUCCCCGGUUUCAAAUCAACUUUUCCACCUCUGUCACAGGGGCAGAGUUUCAGGAGAUCCUUGCUGCCUUCUGGACCGGACCCCGAACCUUCAGUUCCAGGCCUCCUGGAAGGCAGUGCAGCAAAGGGUUUAAAAACACAGCAGAAAACCUUUCCUGGAAGGCCUUGAACUAACACGGAGUAGGCCCGGCCAUGUCAUCCAGCAGCCAUCGGCAGAUUCGAUGAAAUCACCUUCCUUGAAAGGUGGCAGGAGACUGAAUGAACCGCUGCAAAUAUAAGUUCUACAUUAUCUCAUCAGCUGCACUUUCCACUUCUGAACACCCAGAAGAUCUGAUAAGCCUUCCUUAUCAAGAAUCUUGUGCUUGCAUAGCCCAGAC